rnacentral:rRNA from 1 species
GGCGGCAUGCCUUACACAUGCAAGUCGAACGGCAGCACGGGAGCAAUCCUGGUGGCGAGUGGCGAACGGGUGAGUAAUAUAUCGGAACGUGCCCAGUUGUGGGGGAUAGCCCGGCGAAAGCCGGAUUAAUACCGCAUACGACCUGAGGGUGAAAGCGGGGGAUCGCAAGACCUCGCGCAAUUGGAGCGGCCGAUAUCAGAUUAGCUAGUUGGUGGGGUAAAAGCCUACCAAGGCGACGAUCUGUAGCUGGUCUGAGAGGACGACCAGCCACACUGGGACUGAGACACGGCCCAGACUCCUACGGGAGGCAGCAGUGGGGAAUUUUGGACAAUGGGCGCAAGCCUGAUCCAGCCAUGCCGCGUGUGGGAAGAAGGCCUUCGGGUUGUAAACCACUUUUGUCAGGGAAGAAACGGCCUUUAUUAAUACCGAAGGUUAAUGACGGUACCUGAAGAAUAAGCACCGGCUAACUACGUGCCAGCAGCCGCGGUAAUACGUAGGGUGCAAGCGUUAAUCGGAAUUACUGGGCGU